rnacentral:lncRNA from 1 species
GAGGGUUUGGAGUGUAGGGAGGUUGAGAAAUAGGAGAGGGAGUGUUUGGAGGGGUUGGGACAUAAGGUUGGUUGCCAGGGGAAGGUGUUUUUGGAGGAGUGGGAACAUUUGGAGGACUAUAAGAAGGAGACGGUGUUUUUGGAGGCGUUGGAAUAUAGGGUGGUUGGUUACGAGGAGAAGGAGCAUUUGGAGGACUAUAAGCUGGAGAAGGUGUUUUUGGAGGAGUGGGAACAUUUGGAGGACUAUAAGAAGGAGAAGGUGUUUUUGGAGGUGUAGGAACAUAGGGUGGAUGGUUACCCGGGGAAGGAGCUAUUGGGGGGGCGUAAAUAGGAGAAGGUGUUUUGGGAGGUGUUGGAACAUUAGGAGGAGUAUAAACAGGGGAAGGAGUUUGUGGAGGAGUUGGAAUAAAUGGAGGAUGAUUAGUAGGUGAAGGUGCUUUAGGAGGAACAUAGGGAGGACUGUGAAUAGGAGAAGGUGUUUUUGGAGGGGUUGGAACAUAAGGUGGAUAAGGAAUUUUUGGAGGAGUUUGAGGAGGUGUUGGAACAUAAGGUGCUUUUGGAGGAGUAAUUGGAACAUAGGGAGUGUUUGGAGGUGUUGGAGGAUAAUAAGGAG